rnacentral:lncRNA from 1 species
CAUGGGCCAGUGGCUGAGUCCCGGCUCCACGAGGAGAUGUUGGGAGAAGGCAGCACACAUUGAGGAGAAGCAAGGAGCACCACUCCUGAUGGUCCCCUCCAGAGCCCCAGGAAACUCUUGUUAGCAAUCUUAGAUUAAAUUCAGAGUUUCUGGAUCACGACAGGAAGCUGUGUCCAGCACGAAGGUGUCCUGUGAACAGGCUCAAUCACAAGCUCUGCAGAGACGGGAAGUGACAGAGGCCCCAGAAAGCCAGUUCCCGACAACGCCAAUACUGCACGUUUAUCAGCUGCGGCAAGAGCCGGCCAGAGGCGGUGGCAGCACCUCAAUGCCCUUGCCUCGUCUUCAAGAUUCUUCUGUUUGAUGUUGCGUCCUCACUGUUCCUCUGCUGAGGAGCUGUAGUGUGGCUCACAACUACGCGAUGACUCUCCAGAUUCAAAGACCACAUCUCACCCUCUCUAAAGCCCCAGGGGCCCAGCGCAGUGCCGAGUGCAGAAGGAUUGAUGAGCAUUUGCUGAGCCGGGUGCUAAUCCCAUGGGCAUUGUUUCCUCUGCCCUCAGUCUCCAGCCUGCAGACGCCUGAAUGGAUUCUGGAGAGGUGUGCGUUGGACUCUGAAGGUCCUCUGAGCCCAUCCAGGAUAAAGAUGCUCUCUCCCAGGCGUCUGCUCAGCCGCCGGCUAUCGGCAGGACAUUGCGCACCAGGUAUCUUCAAGCUGCUUCUGGCUGGAUUUAGGGCAUGAUGGAAACAUCAAAACAACUGUAGUUCUGCCACGGGGUCCCACAUCUGCUUAUCCUGGGACAGCCACGCAGUCCCCACCCAGGAAGCGGCAGCAGGUUUCAGCACCCUGGAGAGGGCCAGGCCCCUGUGGCUGGUCAAGCUCCUCAGUGUUAAGGGAGCAGCUCAGGAAGGCCCCGCCCAGGACGAUGAGGGGACCAGGAAUGAAGUCAGCAGGGAUGAGACAUGUGAGGACCAGUGAGAAGUACUCAUCUUUUACAAUGAAUGUCAACAGACUCUUACAAAUGAAUUCACCCCAGACUACACUGUCAGCUCCUGGGGACAGGUUUAAAUCGCCUUCUGUGUCU